GAUGAAGAACGCAGCGAAAUGCGAUAAGUAGUGUGAAUUGCAGAAUUCAGUGAUUCAUCGAAUCUUUGAACGCACAUUGCGCCCUUUGGUAUUCCAAAGGGCAUGCCUGUUCGAGCGUCAUUUGUACCCUCAAGCUUUGCUUGGUGUUGGGCGUCUUGUCUCUAGCUUUGCUGGAGACUCGCCUUAAAGUAAUUGGCAGCCGGCCUACUGGUUUCGGAGCGCAGCACAAGUCGCACUCUCUAUCAGCAAAGGUCUAGCAUCCAUUAAGCCUUUUUUUCAACUUUUGACCUCGGAUCAGGUAGGGAUACCCGCUGAACUUAAGCAUAUCAAUAAGCGGAGGA
rnacentral:misc_RNA from 1 species